rnacentral:rRNA from 1 species
AGUGAACGCUGGCGGUAGGCCUAACACAUGCAAGUCGAACGGCAGCACAGUAAGCGCUUGCUCUUACGGGUGGCGAGUGGCGGACGGGUGAGGCAUACAUCGGAAUCUACUUUUUCGUGGGGGAUAACGUAGGGAAACUUAUGCUAAUACCGCAUACGACCUACGGGUGAAAGCAGGGGAUCUUCGGACCUUGCGCGAUUGAAUGAGCUGAUGUCGGAUUAGCUGGUUGGCGGGGUAAAGGCCCACCAAGGCGACGAUCCGUAGCUGGUCUGAGAGGAUGAUCGGCCACACUGGAACUGAGACACGGUCCAGACUCCUACGGGAGGCAGCAGUGGGGAAUAUUGGACAAUGGGCGCAAGCCUGAUCCAGCCAUACCGCGUGAGUGAAGAAGGCCUUCGGGUUGUAAAGCCCUGUUGUUGGGAAAGAAAAGCAGCAGGUUAAUACCCCGCUGUUCUGACGGUACCCAAAGAAAAAGCACCGGCUAACUUCGUG